rnacentral:lncRNA from 1 species
UCUCAUUACACCCAGAGCAGCCGAGCACUGGGGAAAUCUCACGGUGCCGAUGAAGUGCUCAGCAGCUGCACGAAGCGAUUAGGGCGAAAUCUCCCCCGGUGUGCUGGUGCUUUCGGGCUGGGUGCAGGGCACACGCCUCCUCUGGGAGCCCUCUGCCCUGCAGGGGAGGGAUUCUUGCUCACAGCAGUGCCCAGGGCUGGUGAGCAGGUUCAUCAGGCAGCAGCUGUGUUUCCCCAAGUCCAUCCCAGAGCCUUUUCCGUGUGUCUGUCUGCUGAUGCCUGGUGCGUGCAGGAUGCUGUGACUCUCAGUUACCCCAUAAGGCUCAGGUUAGCGCUCAGCCAGAGCCCUGGUGCCACUUCCAGCCCUGCUGAGCUUUUGCCGUCUCCUCCUCCGGCAGCGUCAGAUCCACACCUGCUGCUGACAGCGCCAGGCGCUGGGGCUGGCUGCCGUGUAACGUGCCGGGCACCCAAAGGCGUCAGGGCCUCAGGAACCUGCUGGCGCUGCCCUUCCCUUGUGGCCUUGGGGCUGAGCACUGCUGGGCUCCAUCCCCAGCCAGGAGCUGCUGCGGGGUCUUGUGGACGUGGGACAGGACUGAAUGGCGCUGGAGGAGAGCGUGGUCAUAGCUGGGAUGAGAGCACGCAGAUCCGGAACAACUCUGGCAGAAGGAAAGCUGUUUCACGUGGAUUUAACCGUCUCUGGAGUUUAUUGAAAAAUAAAUCAGCUGUUUGUGGAGAAGAGAUUCCAGAGAAAGCAGUUAUUCAGGGGCAAGGAGUUAGGUGGGACUGGGGAUGCGUGUGGGCAUGCAGGCACUGUUGGGUGCCUCAGUGGGGCUGGGGGUCCCAUCCCAGCCCUCGUCCUCGCCCCGUGUCCCCAAGGACACCGCUCGGCAAGGGGAUGGCGAUGGGAGCGUGGAGAGCUACAGGCGAUAGUGGCGGGAUGGCCAUCGGGCACGCAGAGCUCUUUGCACUGCAGAACAAAGAUGUCUUGUCCCAGAGGGCGGUAAAAGAUAUUUAUGGGUUGCCGUGCAGGCCGUAA